GCCGCCCCCAGCAGCUCCCUCCAGGAACUCCUCCCGGGGGCAGAGCGCUCGGCGGGGGUUACGGACAGCAAGGCCAAGGGGUUCCCAGCGCUAGGGGUCCGGUGCCAGCCGCCAGAGGGACUCGAGGGAGGGGACACUCGCCUUCCCGGGGCGGAGCAAAGCCGGAGGAGCGCCAUCUGCCCACGGAAGGCACAGGCCACAGCCCACACGCUCCGACCCCUCCGCAUCCCGCCCGGGGCGGCUGCCGGGACUGGCCCUUCCCGCGGAGACAUCGGGAGAAGCGACCGGAUGGCUCCCGGCCUCGUGCUUCGCCGCGCUGCGCAGAGUAGCCACGUCUGCUCCAGAAGCCAAGUCAAGAGGAACGACAACAAAACCUGCCCCCUCCCCUAUGAACCACGCGCGGCUGAUGAAUGGGAUGAUCCCUGCGCGGCGGGGGUGGUGCCCCGGGUCCCCCUGGGCGCUGCGACCUCGCCCCGGCCCAGGUGUUGCGGGGGAGCGCAGGGGCGGGGCUGCGGAAGGCGGAGGGGGCAGAGGGGAACGGACGGCUCACUCGGCCCCUGGGGCUCACUCUCCGGCCAAUCAGGACACGCAGGUAAGGCACUCCUGCCAGGACCAUGGAAUGAGCACGGGAUCUGGAGUCAAACAGGAUGUGAGACCCCUUUCUGUCCCUGUCAGCUCCAGUAUGCUGCUUGACCUCUGCACUCCUCGGUUUUCUGGUCUCUGACAUGGGGACAAGGCAAGGCUCUGAAGAUUCAAAGGAUAUAAUGCACACAGUCUAGAACACAGCAAAAGCUCUCCAGGGCGCCUCAGACCUUCAGUUCAGGCACUGACCCUGUGAACCAGAGCAAAACCACGAGGGGGAAAAAAAAAAACAAUAUAAACUUUCAUUGGAGCUUGAGUUCUUCCUCCUCUGUUAAAAACAAAAAAUGUAUACUGGCUGGAUGGGCUCCCUGGACUGGGGCUGGGAUCAGGGAAGACAGCAGGUGUCUCUACUGUCUCCCCUCUGGUGUUUUGUACAUUGUGAACAUGUAACCCAGCUGGGCUGUUAUUUGCCAAAUGGCAAACAAUUGACACUUUCUUAUGGAGGAUGACGUGGCGUGGGGGGAGAAGGCAGCAGGGGGGCCGAGCUCAGAGAUGACGCCUGAGGACCCCAGUGGCCGAGGAUGUGCUCCAGGUGGCCCUGCCAC
rnacentral:lncRNA from 1 species